CCACUAGAACAGAUGAAGAUUACCGAAAACAACAAACUUCAGACAGUACUUCAGUAUGUAAUUGCACCAUGUAAUAACAAAAUAGUGAAACGCAUGAAUCUCUGCCCAAUUGCAGACCAAAGGAAGCUCAUUACAAUCUUCAAAAGCAGCAGCUUUAGAAGCUAAAUUUUCUGAACACUGAUAGUCAAUAUUCUUAAACCAAAAGCCAUUAACAUGUACACAACCAAAAGGUCCUUCUCAGAAAGAUAUAUAGCGAGACUAACCUCAUGUUGGAG
rnacentral:lncRNA from 1 species